rnacentral:rRNA from 1 species
CAGGCCACUGGAUGCCGCGGAUUCGUAGGAGCAACGCCGCUGAACGAGAAGUUUCGGUUGAAAGUUUUGUGUCAGGGACGAUAAGUACCUUCGAUAGGGCGGUACCUUGACGGUACCUGACGAGAAAGCCACGGCUAACUACGUGCCAGCAGCCGCGGUAAUACGUAGGUGGCAAGCGUUGUCCGGAUUAUUGGGCGUAAAGCGCGCGCAGGCGGCUAUGUAAGUCUGGUGUUAAAGCCCGGGGCUCAACCCCGGUUCGCAUCGGAAACUGUGUAGCUUGAGUGCAGAAGAGGAAAGCGGUAUUCCACGUGUAGCGGUGAAAUGCGUAGAGAUGUGGAGGAACACCAGUGGCGAAGGCGGCUUUCUGGUCUGUAACUGACGCUGAGGCGCGAAAGCGUGGGGAGCAAACAGGAUUAGAUACCCUGGUAGUCCACGCCGUAAACGAUGAGUGCUAGGUGUUGGGGGUUUCAAUACCCUCAGUGCCGCAGCUAACGCAAUAAGCACUCCGCCUGGGGAGUACGCUCGCAAGAGUGAAACUCAAAGGAAUGACCCGGGG